rnacentral:rRNA from 1 species
GGUUAAGCGACUAAGCGUACACGGUGGAUGCCCUGGCAGUCAGAGGCGAUGAAGGACGUGCUAAUCUGCGAUAAGCGUCGGUAAGGUGAUAUGAACCGUUAUAACCGGCGAUUUCCGAAUGGGGAAACCCAGUGUGUUUCGACACACUAUCAUUAACUGAAUCCAUAGGUUAAUGAGGCGAACCGGGGGAACUGAAACAUCUAAGUACCCCGAGGAAAAGAAAUCAACCGAGAUUCCCCCAGUAGCGGCGAGCGAACGGGGAGCAGCCCAGAGCCUGAAUCAGUGUGUGUGUUAGUGGAAGCGUCUGGAAAGGCGUGCGAUACAGGGUGACAGCCCCGUACACAAAAAUGCACAUGCUGUGAGCUCGAUGAGUAGGGCGGGACACGUGGUAUCCUGUCUGAAUAUGGGGGGACCAUCCUCCAAGGCUAAAUACUCCUGACUGACCGAUAGUGAACCAGUACCGUGAGGGAAAGGCGAAAAGAACCCCGGCGAGGGGAGUGAAAAAGAACCUGAAACCGUGUACGUACAAGCAGUGGGAGCACGCUUAGGCGUGUGACUGCGUACCUUUUGUAUAAUGGGUCAGCGACUUAUAUUCUGUAGCAAGGUUAACCGAAUAGGGGAGCCGAAGGGAAACCGAGUCUUAACUGGGCGUUAAGUUGCAGGGUAUAG